AACGAGAAAAUGCAAUAUUUUGCAUUUUUCUUAUUGCGAAAGUUACAAAAAUUCUCUUAAUUAAAAAAUUGGAAAGGUUAAUAUCGUAUAUGUAGGAAAUUAAAACACUUUUUUGCUUACGUGUUCACCAAAUACAGUAAAUGUCGUGGAAAUGUGAACGCUAUUCAUAUACACCCGUGCAUACUUAUGGUGAAAGAAACAAUAAACGGACGCGAAAUUGCAAUCGCAGAAAAAAAAGCAUAAAUAACAACAGCGACAGCGACAGCAUCGAAAGCAAAUUGAAGGGAAUGAAUGAUACAAACACACAUACAUAUUUAACAAGUGUUGCAUGUGUGAUUGUUUUCCGGCAUCGAUGUGUACUUUUGCACUCGCGACAUAUGGUAUGUGAAAAAAGUGUAUGAUAUUAUCUUCAAUUUGUUGUUACUUCUCUUAAACAGAGUCUCAAAAUCUUUGCUAUAAGCAUUAAUAAAUUUGUUUAAAUGAAGUUCUGUAGCCAAUUAUCGGACAAGAAUUCAUAUAAGUGGUAUGUGAAAAUUAUGAAAGUCUUCUAAAACUUCAAAAUGAAAUAGAAAAGGAAACCCUUUUUAAAAGUAGCUAAUUCGAUAAAUAACGUACAACAACAACGUAUAAAGCAUGGAUCAGUCUAAACGAUUCCGGAAUGAUAAAAAUGUAAUCGUCCCUCCGAUCGAUUCUUUCCACAUACAGAUGUAGUCGCUUUACUAUUCUCUAGAUUAAGUAUUCAAUCGCAGACUCUCUUUUCAGUUUCGACGCAUGUAGUGUAUUCUGUUGAAAUGCUACCCAAUUAACCGUCUUAUAGAUUACAUAAAUUUAAGCUUAUUGUCAACUGUUUUAUAAGUUCUUCACCUCACGUCAAACUCAGAGAUCACGUUUCCUCUUUCGUUUAUGCUUUUUUUUAAAUUUGUAUUGCUUCCUACAAAAUCCUUUGCUCUCAAUCGCCCAACAUUUUAAUAAAACGAGUUUACAGCUUCCUUAUAUAUCUCAUCCAUAACAUACGUACGGUAGGAGGGUAUUCAUAUCUUCUACAUCCAUCCAUUCCUCUUGCGAAACAAUCAUUGACUUUCUGCUCAGCGCUAUGUUCGGGUGCUUUACCACCCGUAAAACCUAUGUCAACCUUUUCAAUCUUUAGCACAUAAAUUUCUCUUGAUACUGCGGUCUGAUGAUCGUUGUUAUUAAGGACAUUAGGAUAAAGUUAAUUACUUGAGUAGUCUUUCCUUCCGAUUACACUUAUGUGACUAUCUCUUCUGGCACAUUUUGUGUUUGCAUUGUAAUUAUGUAAAUUGACUUAUGUAGUCGCAGAUAAAGUGUUCAUAUUGUCAUAACGUACUCAUACUGCCAAGGGGUUAUCGAUAUAAUAACAUUAUUGCUGUGGGAGUAAUUGACAUGACAGAGACGUUCUAAAAGAGCACAUAUUCUCAUCAGUGCGAAAGUAUUCAUGUGUCCGUCCGUCUUUCUAAUUGCAAUUCUUAAAGUAGUAAAAACUGAAAUAAACAAUUUGGGUUUUGUGAAUUCGGUUAAAUACGCAAGUGGUAAAAGAGUCCGAAAACGUCACGAAUUAAAACAAAUGUCAAUAUGCUAAGUUAAAUAUAAAAUAGUCAUGUCAACAAAUUUUUUGCCUUGAAAUUGAUUGUUUUAUGAAUUAGUAUUUAACGCUUUUAUUUCGUCCCAAAUUUUUUAGAUAGGUAGAUAGAUAAAUUUGACGUUGAUGCUUGUACACUACAAAUUUCGGUUGCUUACAAACUGCCAUUCAAUGUAUGCCAUAUCAAUGUGUAAAGAGACGGACGACAAUAGGCAGCAUCUACGGUACUGCAAGCUACUGAUUGACGACGAUCGAGUUCGCGUCGAGUUGACUCGAAAACUCGAAGUGUCUAGCGCGAUGGCACUCAUAAUAUCAUCAAUAAAUUUGAAUUUUAUCCCAACGCACAGACACGUUUAAUACCUAGUCUUAUAUAAAAA